rnacentral:sRNA from 1 species
ACUGGGCAUUGUGGCACAUGCCUAUAAUCCCAGUGACUCAGGAGGUUGAGGCAGGAGGAUUACAAGUUUGAGGCUAGCCUCAGCAAUUUGGUGAGUUCCUAAGUAACUUUGUGAGACCCUGUCUCAA